AUUGAACGCUGGCGGCAGGCUUAACACAUGCAAGUCGAGCGAGCGGCGGACGUGUGAGUAAUGUAUGGGACACUGCCUGAUGGAGGGGGAUAAAUACUGGAAACGGUAGCUAAUACCGCAUACCAUCAGAUGUGCCAAGCUGGGAUUAGCUAGUAGGUGGGGUAAUGGCUCACCUAGGCGACGAUCCGUAGCUGGUCUGAGAGGAUGACCAGCAACACUGGAAAGGAGACACGGUCCAGACUCCUACGGGAGGCAGCAGUGGGGAAUAUUGCACAAUGGGCGCAAGCCUGAUGCAGCCAUGCCGCGUGUGUGAAGAAGGCCUUCGGGUUGUAAAGCACUUUCAGCGAGGAGGCGUUACUCGCAGAAGAAGCACCGGCUAACUCCGUGCCAGCAGCCGCGGUAAUUC
rnacentral:rRNA from 1 species